ACUCAGUACUGUUUUUGGCUCAAAUAUCUGACAUGCCACCUUCAGUGGCUAUUGUAUACCUAUUAAAAGUUUCAUAGUUUGAAUUGAUUUAAAUGUUAUAAGAAAGUCAAAAUGUAAUUUUUAGAAACAUAUUUGUAUUAAGAAUGUAGAUUGCCGAAGUACAACGUUUAUUAAUAUAUAAUAUGUUUACUGCUUUACGAAAAAUCAAAAAUGAUUAGUUUAAUCGAUCUCCAUUAUUUAAACCUGCAAUAAUCAUCAAUAAUUGAUCAAUUAUUCCAUUAGUUGCAGUUAGAGUAAUCAGCAAGGAAUUAUUUUCUCUAUUGAACAUUCAUAAGUAAUUAGUUAUAGGUAUAAAUCUAGAUCCGGUUUUAUAAACUGAUGUGUCUAUAUCCGGCCAACACCAAUGUAUUAUAAAAAUACUGAAUUAAGUAAUCAAUUCCCCAAAGACAGUUGGAUCUUGGAUUAAAUUGUGUUUUAAAUGUGUAUAUUCCCAAUUGGCCCUACGCUUCAACCGUAGUUAAAGGAAAUACAAUACAUAUAUGUGUAUACAUAUACUCGUAUAGAUAUAUGUAUAUACAUAUAUAUGCAUAUAUUCCCAAUUAUUUCUUGAAGUUAUAAAAUGUAUCAAAAACUUUUGAUUUAUUAAGACGCUGCAUUGAGAGAAGGAAGUAAGCUGAAAUGCUGAUGGUAUCCUCCGGCAAAAAGACCAAAAAAAAAAACUCAAACAUUUGCGAUUACGUUACAAAAUUUAUUUAAUUCAAACAUGGUUCGAUUGUGGAAAAAUGUAUAAUUUUUAUUUACAUAUUUUCAGUUAUAUGCGUAAUUAUAAUGUAACUUCAACUCAAAUAUUCUUCAUUCGAAUGACAUGAAUAUAAUAUAUUCCAUAUUUUAAAAAUCAAAUACAUUAAUGAUUUCAUAUAAACAAAUUUGUACUUAAAUUUAAUUUAUUUGUACUUUGUGGUUAACUAAACUCCUUUUUAACAAAUUAGUAGAUAUUCUAACAUUCAAUUUAAAGAUCAGGGAUUGAAAUUAAAAAUUUAAUUUUCAAUUUAAAUUAAAAACUUAGUUCUUAAUUUCAAUUCAAUCCGACUUUGCAAUUAAAAAUACAAUUUUGAAUUUUUUAUCCCAAGAUCAGAAUUAAAAAUUGAUAAAACAUAAAUCGUUUAAAUGUGUAUUUUUGUGUUUGCCAAUCACUGUUCUAGACUAUUGAAGAUGAUGACUCUACUCGGUUGAAAAUCGUAGAACACGAAAUUUUGUUUUGCCAAUUUUUAAUUAAAUACUUAGGAUUUAAUUUUUUUAUAUUUUUGAAUUCGGUGUUUGAGAUAAGAAAUUUGAAAAUUAUCUUUAAUAUUUUCGAGAUUACAAAACAAAACAAAAAAUACAAAAUUAAUUAAAUCUUAACUCGAUUUUAGUUUUUUAAUGUAUUAUUUGCAGCCCCGCAUGCCGGUUAUAUCUGAUGUUGACUGGAGGUCAUUAAUUUUAGUAUUUAGGGAAUGGUUGUUGUCCCAAGACAUUAAUUAUACAGACAGGGCUCGGAUAAACUCAAGCGAGUUUUAAAAUAGACCAGUAAAUGUCAAAGAUUAAAAAAAAAAAAACAGUUGAGUUCUCGCGGAUAAAAAGAGUUUUUCUGUUGGCAAAGCUCAAAAUCGCCUUGGCCGGUAUUUUGGAAAACUUAUUUCGGGUCUUGAGAAAAAAUAAUACAAACUGUUUUUUAGAGUUUUGAAAAUCCAAUAGGAAUUUUUUAGGUAACAUAAGUAUAUAUAUAUUUAUUAUAUUUAUAUUGUUGUUAUAGCAUCAAGAAACAUCCCUGAAGUAAUUUGGAGGAAUGCUGCCGAGUUGACAAUUCUUGACCGGAUAAAAAUCUGCGUCCUUUCCAGUUACGUAGAUGCGACUGUCGCGGGAUGCUAUUUGAAUUUUUUUUAGAAGUGAUGUAUUCCAAUCUAUCAGCUAUUAUUGAAAAAAUUAUUAAUUUGUAAUGGUUUGCAAAUAUAUUAUCAUCAGAAAAUGGUUGCUGUUAGUAUAUUGCCCUUAACUUGGAAAAUCCACUGAAUUCAAAAUGAUGACUUUUCUUAUAAAUGUAUCCUUUUAUAUAGAGCAAAUAUGAUUUAUGAAGGUUUAAAAGAACAGAAAAGAAUUAAUUAUGUAAUAAAAUAAAUUCAAAGUUUAACCUUUGGAGCAUCAAAUUACAAUUUAUAUCAAAACAUAGUCAUAUUAUACUUGCAAUUUUUAAACUUAAAAUUAACAGAAAAAAAGAAAGGAAUGCACAUGCUAAAUAAUAUAAGUUUGUACUAAGGUAAAUAAGUUAUGAUUUCAAUAUGAAAUCUAUCGGUAAUGAAGUAAUAUUUUAUAAAUAAUAAUGGUACUUAGUAUUAACGUGACUGCAGCAAAAAUUAAGUGGGAUGUCCUCAGUUUUUUUCGCUUAGCACAGCUUUCUUCAUUGGAGGCUUUCGGCCGUGUUAAAAAAA